GGGGUGGGAUGGGUUACAGGGGAUGCGCCCUAAGGAUUGGCUGAGGGCCGGGCCGCGCUCCCCCAUUACCUCGCACCAAGAUCCGGCGGCAGUAAUCCGCUUCUCCUCCCCCGGACUGGCUGUCGCCCUCCGGGACGCACUCCUGGGACAAGCCGGGGCUGGCCGCCGAGGUUCCCGGGACCUCCUUGAGUCCGAAUCCGCCUCCGGCUCCACGCAGCGCGGUCUCCAGCUCCCCCCGGGCACCGCUCUUCCCCCGGGCGCGCUCCGGGGCUCCCGGGUCCCCCAGCAGCAGGGGGCUUCUGCCGGCCUGGGCCCCGCCAUCGCUCAUGCCUGUGGCCGCCGCGGAGGGAUCAAACAUCAAGAGACAGAGAGCGGGGCACGGGGGGGGGGGCGUCCNGGAUCAGCGCCCUGGCUCCCGCCAGCGGCAGCCCCGGGGUGCAGCUAAGGAGCCCUCGCCCAGGGCGAACACCAUGGUCGGGAAGACCCAGCGAGGUCCAAUCCUUCCCGGUUCCCUCCUAGCUCUCGCUCUACUCCCGGAGCCUUUCCCCCCGGGCUGCGGGGCAGGCUCGAUCCAUUUAAACAGCCUCUUCCCGCACCCCCCUUCUGCUCCCCCCCUCCGGGGGAAAAAAAACCCCAAGACCAAAUUUCAGUGGAGAAGUCAAGAAAUGCCGGUGCCCGCCGGGCGCCUGGGGCAGAGGUGGGCGGGGGGGAAAGGAGUUAAAAACUUUGACAGCCCUGGUCCUUUCUCACGUACCGCCCCCCUCCGGCCCCAGCACCCCUCUUCCUGCAGACUUCAAGAGCGGAGCCGCGAACCGCUCCUCCCGUGUCUCUCUCUGAUGAGCAAAAACCGAGGAGCGAGCCAAUGUCUCGCCAAGCCCUGCCUGCCAGCCAGCCGGGCCGGCCUUCCGCAGCUGAUUCGCGUGCCCAGAGAUCGCGCCUGCUUUGGGGAUGUGGGUGGAUUUGGGGGAGGGAGUGAGGGGGGGUUAAUUAAAAUAGUCCGGGAUAUUUUUCAGACGCCCCCUCCUUUUCUCCAUCUCUCAUCCCCUGCCGAUAAAGACACGAAUAACCCAAUCAUCAGCGGUAAUCGAAGGACGGA
rnacentral:lncRNA from 1 species